UUCUCAGAAUUAUUUCUCUGAAAUUCAUUAACAGGAUUUCUACUGCUGUUUUCUUUCUGGAAUGCUUCUUGAUGUUCUUGUGUCAGCCAGAGCUUUCUCCUCUGUUGCAGAUAAGAGCAAUGGCCAGAACAUGGAACUAUUCCUGUGAGUCAAGACUUCAGCAAUACCUUGAUAUUUGUGAAUUAUGCAGAAUUUGCUUAUAAUACACAGACUUAUCCAGCUCUAUUGCCUAGAGAAAAACACAUUUUAUCAUCACUAUUCAUGCCUUCCAUUCUUGACACCUCUUUGAAAGUACAAGAAGUGCUGCCUUGUGUAACACUGUGGUCAUCCGCUCUAGGGAGAGAUUCCUGCUACAUUAUGAGUUGGUGGUAAGCCUUACUUUCUGGCAUAAUAAAAAUAGAUGGUCUGUCAAAAGAUGAUGUUCUCAAUGCUUUGUUUUGUAGUUCUAUCCUGCCAUCUUCUCUGAAUUAGCAAAUGUGAAAUGCAGCAUAUGGAUUUAUGAAAAGAAAAGUGCAAGAUGUGAAAUAUCCUGAGUAUCUGGAUCUUCGAACAUACGCAUCUCAAUCCGUUGGAGAACCACUCCUCUAUGCCUUAUAUGCAGUCCUGGUAUAUAGAGGUGUCAGUAGUCAUGCAGGACGUUAUUUCUGCUACACAAAGAAAGUGUGCAGUUCCUCUGAAGACAUGGCUGCUUUUAUUUGCAGGCUGCUGGUAGACUUUGAUCUGAGAUGAAUGAUGCCUCUGUAGUCUUUUGUGAAAUCAAAAUGGUUCUCAGUCAGCAAGCUUAUUUACUUUUUAAUAUCAGAAAUCAAGUCAUUUAAAUGGAAAUGAACCCCUAAAAGAAGAUCCAAAUACCAUUGCUGUUACCCUAGAAAGGCCUUCUUCGGCUCCACCAACAGCUUGUGUUCAAAACUAGGCAAUUACCAGGCCUUUAUUUGCUGAUCCCUCAGAAAAACAAAAGAUCACUUCAUAACAAACUGCCUGCACAUCAAACUGUCUCAGCCUGACUGUUUUAGCAGUGCUGUGGUGGAUGAGGAUCUAAACAAGCCUGUUCCUUCAUCCACAGUGUGGCGGACAGAUGAGUGAAUUUUUGCCUUAAACGUUUCUUGGUACAUAAGGUGAAAGCCUUCCUGCGCACAUUGCAGAUUUUGCAGGAAACCAUAACCCCGAACAAGCCAUCUGUUCCCUGUGGAAACAGGACGGAGCUGCUGCAACCCCGAAAUGGUCUCCCUGCGACCACUCAGGACACACCGAGCCUGCGAAAAACCAGACCACGAUCAGGCAGAGACUUUUGGACCUGGAGUGUAAAUUAUUGCUGCUUAGCACAACUUCCAUAAAACUUGCUUAGCAUGAGCAGCUAAAUUUGCUGAAGCCUUAGGCCGCACUCCUAGUUCAGUCAGAAAGGGCCCCAGAGCUGGUGCAGGCUGGAAAGAUAAGGGAGUUACAAGCAGUCCGCAUUCCUGUGCCCCACACUCCGGGAGGGAGGAGG